rnacentral:rRNA from 1 species
CCUACGGGGGGCUGCAGUGGGGAAUAUUGGACAAUGGGGGGAACCCUGAUCCAGCCAUGCCGCGGGUGUGAAGAAGGCCCUCGGGUUGUAAAGCACUUUCAGUGAGGAAGAACGCCUGGUGGUUAAUACCCAUCAGGAAAGACAUCACUCACAGAAGAAGCACCGGCUAACUCCGUGCCAGCAGCCGCGGUAAUACGGAGGGUGCGAGCGUUAAUCGGAAUUACUGGGCGUAAAGCGCGCGUAGGUGGCUUGAUAAGCCGGUUGUGAAAGCCCCGGGCUCAACCUGGGAACGGCAUCCGGAACUGUCAAGCUAGAGUGCAGGAGAGGAAGGUAGAAUUCCCGGUGUAGCGGUGAAAUGCGUAGAGAUCGGGAGGAAUACCAGUGGCGAAGGCGGCCUUCUGGACUGACACUGACACUGAGGUGCGAAAGCGUGGGUAGCAAACAGGAUUAGAUACCCUUGUAGUC